rnacentral:rRNA from 1 species
GAUGAACGCUGGCGGCGUGCUUAACACAUGCAAGUCGAACGGAAAGGCCCAAGCUUGCUUGGGUACUCGAGUGGCGAACGGGUGAGUAACACGUGGGUGAUCUGCCCUGCACUUCGGGAUAAGCCUGGGAAACUGGGUCUAAUACCGGAUAGGACGAUGGUUUGGAUGCCAUUGUGGAAAGUUUUUUCGGUGUGGGAUGAGCUCGCGGCCUAUCAGCUUGUUGGUGGGGUAAUGGCCUACCAAGGCGUCGACGGGUAGCCGGCCUGAGAGGGUGUACGGCCACAUUGGGACUGAGAGACGGCCCAGACUCCUACGGGGGGCAGCAGUGGGGAAUAUUGCACAAUGGGCGCAAGCCUGAUGCAGCGACGCCGCGUGGGGGAUGACGGCCUUCGGGUUGUAAACUCCUUUCGCUAGGGACGAAGCGUUUUUGUGACGGUACCUGGAGAAGAAGCACCGGCUAACUACGUG